rnacentral:snRNA from 1 species
GGAUGUGAGGGCAAUCUGGCUGUGACAUCUGUUACCCCAUUGAUCGCCAGGGUUGAUUCAGCUGAUCUGGCUGCCUAGGUGGGUGUCCCCUCCCUCCCUCAACGUUACAUGUGUGUCCCUCCCGAAGCUGUGUGCUCAGUCGAAGAAGACAACCACCCCUGAUAGAGGAGGGCCGUUCCUCAGUCAAGGGUAUACCAGGAGCUGCGCUCCCCUGCUAGAACCUCCAAACAAGCUGUCAACGUCAAAAAGACAACAACAACGAAAAAAAGGGCAGAUGCUGUUGAAGGAGGUACAAAUAAGAAAUACGUUCGACUGCAUUU